UUGCCCUUUCAUGGAAGAGAUGGGAGUGGUUCCAACUGAAACGCGGCCCGCCAUCGUGAAUACAUACGCGAAUGGUGGAAAAUGUUCCUGAAUGCUUCAAUGGAUAUUACAGACACAAUUUUUCCAGUUACCGAUAAAUUACAAAAAUAUCGCAUUGUGGAGGAACAGUAGGACGUCGUGAAGAUUUAAAGGGACAGGCAGGUGAACUCUGUAAAAGGCAGCUUCACUAAGGAUAUCCGAGGAACAGAAACAGAGACCGUUCGAAAUUUUGACGGAGUCCACGGUGACCUAUAGUGUCUGCCAAGUCGACCGUAUGAUCGCUAUGGGAUUACCACUUGCUCCAAUGAUCCCAAACGAGAAGGCGCUUCGACUAGGAAAAUGUCAACCUAAUUUUGCAAGAUUUCUUCUGAGGUUCCCGAAAACGACUUAAGAAGGUCCAGAGUUUAUUCUUCCCUCAGGAUAGUUCGCUUUUGA